UACGGGGGGAGCAAGCGUUGUUCGGAUUUACUGGGCGUAAAGAGCGUGUAGGCGGCCAGGUAGGUCUGCUGUGAAAACUCGAGGCUCAACCUCGAGACGCCGGUUGAAACCAUCAGGCUAGAGUCCGGAAGAGGAGAGUGGAAUUCCCGGUGUAGCGGUGAAAUGCGCAGAUAUCGGGAAGAACACCCGUGGCUAAGGCGGCUCUCUAGUACGGUACUGACGCUGAGACGCGAAAGCGUGGGGAGCGAACAGG
rnacentral:rRNA from 1 species